GGGAUUGCCCUAGUAACGGCGAGUGAAGCGGCAACAGCUCAAAUUUGAAAUCUGGCCCUCUUUGGGGGUCCGAGUUGUAAUUUGCAGAGGGUGCUUUGGUGUUGACAGCGGUCUAAGUUCCUUGGAACAGGACGUCACAGAGGGUGAGAAUCCCGUACGUGGCCGCUCGCCUCCGCCGUGUAAAGCCCCUUCGACGAGUCGAGUUGUUUGGGAAUGCAGCUCUAAAUGGGAGGUAAAUUUCUUCUAAAGCUAAAUACUGGCCAGAGACCGAUAGCGCACAAGUAGAGUGAUCGAAAGAUGAAAAGCACUUUGGAAAGAGAGUCAAACAGCACGUGAAAUUGUUGAAAGGGAAGCGCUUGCAGCCAGACUUGCCCGUAGUUGCUCACCCGGACUUUUGCCCGGGGCACUCUUCUGCGGGCAGGCCAGCAUCAGUUUGGGCGACCGGAUAACGGCCUCUGUCAUGUAUCUUCCUCCGGGAUGACCUUAUAGGGGAGGCGUAAUGCGGCCAGCCUGGACUGAGGUCCGCGCUUCGGCUAGGAUGCUGGCGUAAUGGCUGUAAGCGGCCCGUCUUGAAACACGGACCAAGGAGUCUAACAUCUAUGCGAGUGUUUGGGUGUCAAGCCCGGGCGCGUAAUGAAAGUGAACGGAGGUGGGAACCCUUUCGGGGGCGCACCAUCGACCGAUCCUGAUGUCUUCGGAUGGAUUUGAGUAAGAGCAUAGCUGUUGGGACCCGAAAGAUGGUGAACUAUGCUUGAAUAGGGUGAAGCCAGAGGAAACUCUGGUGGAGGCUCGCAGCGGUUCUGACGUGCAAAUCGAUCGUCAAAUUUGGGCAUAGGGGCG
rnacentral:rRNA from 1 species